rnacentral:rRNA from 1 species
UACAGAGGGGGCAAGCGUUGUUCGGAAUUACUGGGCGUAAAGGGCGCGUAGGCGGCCUUCUAAGUCGAACGUGAAAUCCCCGGGCUCAACCCGGGAACUGCGUCCGAUACUGGAAGGCUUGAAUCCGGGAGAGGGAUGCGGAAUUCCAGGUGUAGCGGUGAAAUGCGUAGAUAUUGGGAGGAACACCAGUGGCGAAGGCGGCUACCUGGACCGGUUCUGACGCUGAGGCGCGAAAGCGUGGGUAGCAAACAGG